GACGAACGCUGGCGGCGUGCUUAACACAUGCAAGUCGAACGGAAAGGCCCAGCUUGUUGGGUGCUCGAGUGGCGAACGGGCGAGUAACACGCGGGUGGUAUGCCUCUCACUACGGGUUAAGUAUGGGAAAGUGGGUCGAAUUCCGGCUAGGAAAAUUGUUUAGUGGCGGGGGUGGAAAGUUUGUUCGGUUAGUGAUGGGCCCGCUGCCUAUAAGCUUGUUGGUGGGGUAAUGGCCUACCAAAGCGUCGUCGGGUAGCCGGCCUGAGAGGGUGGACGGCCACAUUGGGACUGAGAUACGGCCCAGACGCCUACGGGAGGCAGCAGUGGGGAAUAUUGCACAAUGGGCGCAAGCCUGAUGCAGCGACGCCGCGUGGGGGAUGACGGCCUUCGGGUUGUAAACCUCUUUCGACAGGGACGAAGCUUUGGUGACGGUACCUGUAUAAGAAGCACCGGCUAACUACGUG
rnacentral:rRNA from 1 species